UAUCGAUUUGGUUUAGAAAGGAAAAAAAAUUGAGAAACAUAGUUCAAUAAAAAUUGAACAUUUCCAACUAAGUUUAUUUCUAAAUGAAAUAAACGAAGCGGAUAGUGUACUAUCUAUCUCUCAAAAUUUCUAUAAUAAUUAUAAAAAUAAAGAUUGAACAUGAGGUGAAUUGGGCUUUUGGUAUGAAUUUUAGAAUUUAAAGUGGGAAAAGAAUAAGAAUUUUAGAAAUUGUUUAGAUUUGGAAAGCUCGAAGCGCGAGUGUAGUACAUAUAGGCAAGUACUUUUAAUUUUAGUUGAAAAUUUUUGAGAGUUAUAUAUAAAUAUAUAUAUAUUGGACAUCGUAAUUGUGAGUUACUAUUUCAGACAAUCUAUUUUGAAUCGAAGUUUUAAUUUAUAAAUUAGCAUAUUUAUUUCUACUACGUACGAACUAUUAAGUUUCAAUUAUUAAAUUUUGGCAUGUUCCAAAAAUGGAGUGUCUAGUUUUUCAACAAAUUUCGAAUUCAAUUGUCAACGGAGAAUCUAUGCUAGUGGGGGCACUCUUUUUUGGAUUUACUGGGAAAUUACUAAAUCACUAAUGAAGGACGAGAAAGUAUUCUUGAGGAUUCAUUAGAACUCUCAGCCAAUCUUUUACCAAUAUUAAUCGUAUGUAUUAUAACUUUUAAUUUAAUUAAAGUAAAAUUAUUUAUAAAUUAAGAAUGCGAGAGUUAAAAAAAUGUGAUUAAGAACAUUGAAGCGGGGUGCUGUUAAAAUAGCAAAUAGUUGGGAGGUGUCUCCAUGCAUUUUUUUUUUUUUCUACCUUAAUAUUGGUGAUCCGGUGGACACGUGGCGGCUGCAUGUGGCGCGCACAUGGGUGCGGACGAGGACAAUCGGUGAAAAAGUUAGUCGGGCAUUAAUUAUAGGAUUUUUUUUCCUUUUUAAGGGGUUUAAUUAAUGGGAUUAUUUCAUACCUAUCAUUGCAAAUAUAAUGAAUAAAAAAUAUAUUUUUAAUAAUUUUAAUUUUUAUAUAUUAUUUUUAUAAAUAUUUUAAUAUUUUUAAAUAUAUCUCUUUCACUUGUUACCCUUAUAUAAACUAUUUAUAUUUUAAGUAAAAGAUUAUUUUUAUCAUCAUAAAUAUAUUCCUCCGAUAGCCACAAUAGUAUAAUAUAAAAAUGGUCAAAAUAUCGAGUUAUCUUACAAAGUAAUCAGAAUUAAGUAUUUAAUUUAUCAUUAAAUAAAAUUUUCUAACGGAUUUUAACGGCAGAGAUAUAUUUAAAAAUAUUAGAACUUUUAUAGAAAUAAUAUAUGAAAGUUAAAUUUUAUAACAAUAUAUUUAUAAUUUAUUAUAUUUGUAGGGACCAUAAUUAGCUAAUUCGGAUUCGGCAAAAAUUCGGUACGGAUAUAAUACGUAUAAAAUUCGGUUUAAAAAACGGAUUCGGUAUGAAAUAUAAAAUAUAAGAUAAUUUAUAUUUAAAUAUAAAAAUUAUAUAUUUUUUAUUUAUAUUUUCAAUAAUUCGCGAAUAAUUCGUGAAUUAUUCGGCUAGCCCAAAAUUCGUGAAUAAUUUUUUAUUUUUAGAAAAAAUUCGUAAACGAAUCGUUUAAUUCAAAUUUUUAAUAAUUCGCGAAUUAACUAACAGGAACGUGUAUAAAAUUAACCAUUAAUUCUUAAGAAGAGAGACUUUGGAGUUAGUCGCAGCGAUUCUCGUUUGCUUAAUUAGUCAGUUGUGGGCUUUUUUCGCUUUUUUCUUAAAUUUUUUUCUGCAGCUUUUAUCCAUAGAGCUUCUACGAGAAAUAUA
rnacentral:lncRNA from 1 species